rnacentral:rRNA from 1 species
UGACAGUACUCCUACGGGGAGGCAGCAGUGGGGGAAUAUUGCACAAUGGGCGCAAGCCUGAUGCAGCCAUGCCGCGUGUGUGAAGAAGGCCUUCGGGUUGUUAAAGCACUUUCAGUCGUGAGGAAGGUAGUGUAGUUAAUAGCUGCAGUAUUUGACGUUAGCGACAGAAGAAGCACCGGCUAACUCCGUGCCAGCAGCCGCGGUAAUACGGAGGGUGCGAGCGUUAAUCGGAAUUACUGGGCGUAAAGCGCAUGCAGGUGGUUUGUUAAGUCAGAUGUGAAAGACCCGGGGCUCAACCUCGGAAUAGCAUUUGAAACUGGCAGACUAGAGUACUGUAGAGGGGGGUAGGAAUUUCAGGUGUAGCGGUGAAAUGCGUAGAGAUCUGAAGGAAUACCGGUGGCGAAGGCGGCCCCCUCGGACAGAUACUGACACUCAGAUGCGAAAGCGUGGGGAGCAAACAGGAUUAGAUACCCUGGUAG